CCUACGGGAGACAGCAGUGAGGAAUAUUGGUCAAUGGACGAGAGUCUGAACCAGCCAAGUAGCGUGAAGGAUGACUGCCCUAUGGGUUGUAAACUUCUUUUAUAUGGGAAUAAAAUGUUCCACGUGUGGGAUUUUGUAUGUACCAUAUGAAUAAGGAUCGGCUAACUCCGUGCCAGCAGCCGCGGUACUACGGAGGAUCCGAGCGUUAUCCGGAUUUAUUGGGUUUAAAGGGAGCGUAGGUGGAUUGUUAAGUCAGUUGUGAAAGUUUGCGGCUCAACCGUAAAAUUGCAGUUGAAACUGGCAGUCUUGAGUACAGUAGAGGUGGGCGGAAUUCGUGGUGUAGCGGUGAAAUGCUUAGAUAUCACGAAGAACUCCGAUUGCGAAGGCAGUUCACUGGACUGCAACUGACACUGAGGCUCGAAAGUGUGGGUAUCAAACAGGAUUAGAUACCCCUGUAGUC
rnacentral:rRNA from 1 species